GUAAUCCAGGACAGAGAGAGGAAAAGGAAAGGCACAGGAGAGAAGAGACGCCAGCUGCCACCAGGAGAAGCAAGAUGUGAAACCACUGACUUGUGACUAGAAUUCAUGCCUGGAUUUUAUAACACCAAUGAGAAGUAUCUGCCCAGCAUAAGUGGGCUCAGCCUCUCAAGGCCCCUGUGCUCAGAAGCCACCAUUCUUCUCAUCCUCUCAGCAAUCAAAAGAGAUGUUAGAUUGGGCAAGAGUAAGCAACAAGGAUGAGGCAGGUAUGGACAUGGUGUGACCAUUGGAUAUCAUGCAGGAGAGAAUGCUGUGGAGAC